rnacentral:rRNA from 1 species
UAUCUCUGUAGAGUCUGCAUAUCAAUAAGCGGAGGAAAAGAAACUAACAAGGAUUCCCUUAGUAACGGCGAGUGAAGCGGGAAGAGCUCAAAUUUGAAAUCUUCAAGGUUCUACCUUGACGAAUUGUAGUUUAAAGAAGUGUUUUCUGUUAGAUGAGUUCGGUAAAAGUUCCUUGGAAUAGGGACAUCAUAGAGGGUGAGAAUCCCGUAUUUGACCGUUAUUAUUCUAGCUGUGUGAUACACUUUCAAAGAGUCGGAUUGUUUGGGAAUGCAGUCCAAAAUGGGUGGUAAAUUUCAUCUAAAGCUAAAUAUUGGCGAGAGACCGAUAGCGAACAAGUACCGUGAGGGAAAGAUGAAAAGAACUUUGAAAAGAGAGUUAAACAGUACGUGAAAUUGUCAAAAGGGAAGCGUUUGACACCAGUGUUGUUUUCUCGAAAAUCAAUUAAAAAUGGCUCGAUUUUGUGUUGUAUUGACCUUAAAAGCUUUCUUCACUUUUUUCAUGUCUUUUUUAAUGCACUUUUCGCUUAACAAGUCAACAUCAGUUUCUUUUGUUGUAAAAAGGUCAUUGGAAGGUGGCUUUCUUUUCGGAGAAAGUGUUUAUAGCCUUUGACUCCUGCAAUCGGAGAGACUGAGGUCUGCAGCGUAGAUCCUUCUGGAUUAGAUUCAUUUGUGCUAAGUUACAACCGUUUAUAGACAACUUGUUGACUAUAUUCGAUCCUGUAGCUUACUCGCUUAUGUAAUUUUACCUACGCUUAGGAUGUUGACUGAUAUGUAGUCGUA